GUGGGGAAUAUUGCGCAAUGGGGGAAACCCUGACGCAGCGACGCCGUGUGAGGGAAGAAGGCUUUCGGGUCGUAAACCUCUGUCAGGAAGGAAGAACCCCUCAGGUCCCAAUAGGGCCUGGGGCUGACGGCACUUCCAGAGGAAGCACCGGCUAACUCCGUGCCAGCAGCCGCGGUAAUACGGAGGGUGCAAGCGUUAAUCGGAAUCACUGGGCGUAAAGCGCGCGUAGGCGGCCUUUUAAGUCGGACGUGAAAGCCCUCGGCUCAACCGGGGAAUUGCGUUCGAAACUGGAUGGCUUGAGUCCUGGAGAGGGUGGCGGAAUUCCGGGUGUAGGAGUGAAAUCCGUAGAUAUCCGGAGGAACACCGGUGGCGAAGGCGGCCACCUGGACAGGUACUGACGCUGAGGCGCGAAAGCGUGGGGAGCAAACAGGAUUAGAUACCCCGGUAGUCC
rnacentral:rRNA from 1 species